AACUUUUAGGUUAAGUUAAUAAGGGCGCACGGUGAAUGCCUUGGCACUAGGAGCCGAAGAAGGACGGCACUAACACCGAUAUGCUUCGGGGAGCUGUAAGUGAGCUUUGAUCCGGAGAUUUCCGAAUGGGGAAACCCACUGUUCGUAAUGGAGCAGUACAUUUGCGUGAAUACAUAGCGCAUCUGUGGCACACCCAGGGAACUGAAACAUCUAAGUACCUGGAGGAAGAGAAAGAAAAAUCGAUUCCCUGAGUAGCGGCGAGCGAAACGGGAAUAGCCCAAACCAAGAGGCUUGCCUCUUGGGGUUGUAGGACACUCAACAUAGAGUUACAAAGGAAUGAGUUAGACGAAGCGAUCUGGAAAGGUCCGCAGGAUAGGGUAAAAGCCCCGUAGUCAAAAGUUCAUUCUCUCUUGAGUGUAUCCUGAGUACGGCGGAACACGUGAAAUUCCGUCGGAAUCCGGGAGGACCAUCUCCCAAGGCUAAAUACUCCCUAGUGACCGAUAGUGAACCAGUACCGUGAGGGAAAGGUGAAAAGCACCCCGGAAGGGGAGUGAAAUAGAUCCUGAAACCGUGUGCCUACAAGUAGUCAGAGCCCGUUAAUGGGUGAUGGCGUGCCUUUUGUAGAAUGAACCGGCGAGUUACGAUUACAUGCAAGGUUAAGUUGAGAAGACGGAGCCGCAGCGAAAGCGAGUCUGAAUAGGGCGAAUGAGUAUGUGGUCGUAGACCCGAAACCAGGUGAUCUACCCAUGUCCAGGAUGAAGGUAAGGUAACACUUACUGGAGGUCCGAACCCACGUACGUUGAAAAGUGCGGGGAUGAGGUGUGGGUAGCGGAGAAAUUCCAAUCGAACCUGGAGAUAGCUGGUUCUCUCCGAAAUAGCUUUAGGGCUAGCCUCAAACGUUAGAAUCUUGGAGGUAGAGCACUGUUUGGACUAGGGGCCCAUCCCGGGUUACCGAAUUCAGACAAACUCCGAAUGCCAAUGAUUUAUGUUUGGGAGUCAGACUGCGAGUGAUAAGAUCCGUAGUCAAGAGGGAAACAGCCCAGACCACCAGCUAAGGUCCCCAAGUAUUUGUUAAGUGGAAAAGGAUGUGGCGUUGCUUAGACAACCAGGAUGUUGGCUUANNNNNNNNNNACCAGUCCUUACGGUCUGACUUCAACGCCCUUAGAACGCUCUCCUACCACUGAUACCUUUGGUAUCAGUGGUAGGAGAGCGUUCUAAGGGCGUUGAAGUCAGACCGUAAGGACUGGUGGAGCGCUUAGAAGUGAGAAUGCCGGUAUGAGUAGCGAAAGACGGGUGAGAAUCCCGUCCACCGUAUGACUAAGGUUUCCUGAGGAAGGCUCGUCCGCUCAGGGUUAGUCGGGACCUAAGUCGAGGCCGAUAGGCGUAGACGAUGGACAACAGGUUGAUAUUCCUGUACCACCAAACCACCGUUUGAGUAAUGGGGGGACGCAGGAGGAUAGGGUAAGCGUGCUGUUGGUUAUGCACGUCCAAGCAGUAAGGCGUGAAUGUAGGCAAAUCCGCAUUCUAUAACGUUGAGCUGUGAUGGCGAGCUCGUAUGAGCGAAGUUCCUGAUUUCACACUGCCAAGAAAAGCCUCUAACGAGGUGAUAGGUGCCCGUACCGCAAACCGACACAGGUAGUCGAGGAGAGAAUCCUAAGGUGAGCGAGAGAACUCUCGUUAAGGAACUCGGCAAAAUGACCCCGUAACUUCGGGAGAAGGGGUGCUCUUUAGGGUGAAUAGCCCUGAAGAGCCGCAGUNGGAAGGUUAAGAGGAGUGCUUAGCGCAAGCGAAGGUGCGAAUUGAAGCCCCAGUAAACGGCGGCCGUAACUAUAACGGUCCUAAGGUAGCGAAAUUCCUUGUCGGGUAAGUUCCGACCCGCACGAAAGGCGUAACGAUCUGGGCACUGUCUCAACGAGAGACUCGGUGAAAUUAUAGUACCUGUGAAGAUGCAGGUUACCCGCGACAGGACGGAAAGACCCCGUGGAGCUUUACUAUAGCUUGAUAUUGAAUUUUGGUGCAACUUGUACAGGAUAGGCAGGAGCCUUAGAGCCCGGAGCGCCAGCUUCGGAGGAGGCGUCGGUGGGAUACUGCCCUGGUUGUAUUGAAAUUCUAACCCAUACCCGUAACCCGGGUAGGAGACAGUGUCAGGCGGGUAGUUUGACUGGGGCGGUCGCCUCCUAAAGUGUAACGGAGGCGCCCAAAGGUUCCCUCAGAAUGGUUGGAAAUCAUUCGAAGAGUGUAAAGGCAGAAGGGAGCUUGACUGCGAGACCUACAAGUCGAGCAGGGUCGAAAGACGGGCUUAGUGAUCCGGUGGUUCCGCAUGGAAGGGCCAUCGCUCAACGGAUAAAAGCUACCCCGGGGAUAACAGGCUUAUCUCCCCCAAGAGUCCACAUCGACGGGGAGGUUUGGCACCUCGAUGUCGGCUCAUCGCAUCCUGGGGCUGUAGUCGGUCCCAAGGGUUGGGCUGUUCGCCCAUUAAAGCGGUACGCGAGCUGGGUUCAGAACGUCGUGAGACAGUUCGGUCCCUAUCCGUCGUGGGCGUAGGAAAUUUGAGAGGAGCUGUCCUUAGUACGAGAGGACCGGGAUGGACACACCGCUGGUGUACCAGUUGUUCUGCCAAGAGCAUCGCUGGGUAGCUAUGUGUGGACGGGAUAAGUGCUGAAAGCAUCUAAGCACGAAGCCCCCCUCAAGAUGAGAUUUCCCAUUACGCAAGUAAGUAAGAUCCCUCAAAGACGAUGAGGUAGAUAGGUUCGGGGUGGAAGCGUGGCGACACGUGCAGCUGACGAAUACUAAUCGAUCGAGGACUUAACCAAA
rnacentral:rRNA from 1 species